rnacentral:rRNA from 1 species
UGGGGAAUAUUGCACAAUGGGCGCAAGCCUGAUGCAGCAACGCCGCGUGAACGAUGAAGGUCUUCGGAUCGUAAAGUUCUGUUGCAGGGGAAGAUAAUGACGGUACCCUGUGAGGAAGCCCCGGCUAACUACGUGCCAGCAGCCGCGGUAAUACGUAGGGGGCUAGCGUUAUCCGGAUUUACUGGGCGUAAAGGGUGCGUAGGUGGUCCUUCAAGUCGGUGGUUAAAGGCUACGGCUCAACCGUAGUAAGCCGCCGGAACUGGAGGACUUGAAGGCAGGAGAGGAAGGUGGAAUUCCCAGUGGAGCGGUGAAAUGCGUAGAUAUUGGGAGGAACACCAGUAGCGAAGGCGGCUUUCUGGACUGCAACUGACACUGAGGCACGAAAGCGUGGGUAGCAAACAGG